AUUGAACGCUGGCGGCAGGCCUAACACAUGCAAGUCGAGCGGAUGAGGGGAGCUUGCUCCCUGAUUUAGCGGCGGACGGGUGAGUAAUGCCUAGGAAUCUGCCUGGUAGUGGGGGAUAACGUUCCGAAAGGAACGCUAAUACCACAUACGUCCUACGGGAGAAAGCAGGGGACCUUCGGGCCUUGCGCUAUCAGAUGAGCCUAGGUCGGAUUAGCUAGUUGGUGAGGUAAUGGCUCACCAAGGCGACGAUCCGUAACUGGUCUGAGAGGAUGAUCAGUCACACUGGAACUGAGACACGGUCCAGACUCCUACGGGAGGCAGCAGUGGGGAAUAUUGGACAAUGGGCGAAAGCCUGAUCCAGCCAUGCCGCGUGUGUGAAGAAGGUCUUCGGAUUGUAAAGCACUUUAAGUUGGGAGGAAGGGCUGCUGGUUAAUACCCUGCAGUUUUGACGUUACCAACAGAAUAAGCACCGGCUAACUUCGUG
rnacentral:rRNA from 1 species